UGAGGAAUAUUGCACAAUGGGCGAAAGCCUGAUGCAGCCAUGCCGCGUGGAGGAUGAAGGCCUUCGGGUCGUAAACUCCUUUUCUAAGGGAAGAAUGGUCCGGGGAGGAAAUGUCCCGGAUUUGACGGUACCUUAGGAAUAAGCAACGGCCAACUCCGUGCCAGCAGCCGCGGUAAUACGGAGGUUGCAAGCGUUGUUCGGAAUUACUGGGCGUAAAGGGAGCGCAGGCGGCCAGAUCAGUCUGAAGUGAAAUCCCGGGGCUCAACCCCGGACGUGCUUUGGAUACUGUCUGGCUUGAGUACGCGAGAGGUAAGCGGAAUUCCAGGUGUAGCGGUGAAAUGCGUAGAUAUCUGGAGGAACACCCGUGGCGAAAGCGGCUUACUGGCGCGUUACUGACGCUGAGGCUCGAAAGCGUGGGGAGCGAACG
rnacentral:rRNA from 1 species